GAGUUUGAUCAUGGCUCAGGACGAACGCUGGCGGCGUGCUUAACACAUGCAAGUCGAGCGAGGCCUUUCCUUCGGGGAGGGUUCUAGCGGCGAACGGGUGAGUAACACGUGGGCAACCUGCCCCCGGCUCUGGGAUAACUCCAAGAAAUUGGGGCUAAUACCGGAUAUGACCGCUGGCCGCAUGGUCUGGUGGUGGAAAGAUUUAUCGGCUGGGGAUGGGCCCGCGGCCUAUCAGCUUGUUGGUGGGGUAGUGGCCUACCAAGGCGACGACGGGUAGCCGGCCUGAGAGGGUGACCGGCCACACUGGGACUGAGACACGGCCCAGACUCCUACGGGAGGCAGCAGUGGGGAAUAUUGCGCAAUGGGCGGAAGCCUGACGCAGCGACGCCGCGUGGGGGAUGACGGCCUCGGUUG
rnacentral:rRNA from 1 species